AGUAAGCAGCUCCCUUCACAGCUUCUGUAUGAUCCAGGAUCCUGUUCAAUUUGAGUUCCUGCUCUUAUUGCCUUCAAUAAUGAACAGCAAUAUGGAAGUGUCUACAACCUCUCCAGCCACAGGUAGCUGCCUAGGUUUAUAGUACCAAGCAUGGUUUCCCUCCUGUUCAGCAGACCUUUACAUUCAGUUAGGGGGAGUGCUGUGGACUGAGCUGUCUUCAUACUUGCCAAGUGCUCUACCACCGAACUAUCCCCUCAGCCUGUUUCUAUUUGUUGGCUCGUUUGCUUUUCGUCCGUUUUAUGGUGCCAAGGUUGGACCCAGGGCUCUGAAAACAUUGCUCACUGAGCCAUAUCCCUAGAUUGCUUUUACUUUUUAUUCUGGAGAUAGCAUCUCACUAAAAGUUGCUAGGCUGGUCUUGAACUUGUAAUCUUCGGUUCUCAGCCUACCGAAUAGUUGGGAUUAGAGGCCUGCACCACCAGGCCUUGCUUGAUGAUCAUGUAUCGCUAAAGUGAAAUGCACGCCGGAUCUAUAACAACAUUGGUAAAGGCUGAAGUUAUACUAUAUUCACAACUGUGUGUUGUAAUAAUGACAACCACUUUCUUAUACAAAGCAAAAACAAAACCCACACUUCAGAAAGAAAACAAAAAACAAAAACAAAAACCACCUGUCUUUGGUUUUAAAAGGGGGAAAUAAUCACAGGCACUUUUCCAGAAUGCCCUCUGGAGAACCUGAGUUAUGAGGCCUCAAUGUAUGCCUAUGAACACAUCUUUCAAGACAUUAGUAAUUAAAUGAAGACAAUCACUGUGGAGCAAUGGAAAUUCAACACAGAAGUUACUGCAGGAAAAAAUGUUACUUUUCUGAAUUUUUAUAUGAAUAAAUAUGGAGAGACAAUGAGAUAAAAACAAAGGUUCUAAGAAUAGAAAGCACUAAAAUUUGCUCCUGGAUCAAAUAGUUAAACACAAUCUAGUUUGUAUUCUUUGGACCUGCACUGUACCUUAUCAGUACAAGAACAACUGUCCUACCUCAGAAUAAAAUGAUGUAACUGCAAUUUCAUUUGCAAAGUCCU